rnacentral:rRNA from 1 species
AGAGUUUGAUCCUGGCUCAGGAUGAACGCUGGCGGCGUGCCUAAUACAUGCAAGUCGAGCGAACGGACGAGAAGCUUGCUUCUCUGAUGUUAGCGGCGGACGGGUGAGUAACACGUGGAUAACCUACCUAUAAAACUGGGAUAACUUCGGGAAACCGGAGCUAAUACCGGAUAAUAUUUUGAACCGCAUGGUUCAAAAGUGAAAGACGGUCUUGCUGUCACUUAUAGAUGGAUCCGCGCUGCAUUAGCUAGUUGGUAAGGUAACGGCUUACCAAGGCAACGAUGCAUAGCCGACCUGAGAGGGUGAUCGGCCACACUGGAACUGAGACACGGUCCAGACUCCUACGGGAGGCAGCAGUAGGGAAUCUUCCGCAAUGGGCGAAAGCCUGACGGAGCAACGCCGCGUGAGUGAUGAAGGUCUUCGGAUCGUAAAACUCUGUUAUUAGGGAAGAACAUAUGUGUAAGUAACUGUGCACAUCUUGACGGUACCUAAUCAGAAAGCCACGGCUAACUACGUGCCAGCAGCCGCGGUAAUACGUAGGUGGCAAGCGUUAUCCGGAAUUAUUGGGCGUAAAGCGCGCGUAGGCGGUUUUUUAAGUCUGAUGUGAAAGCCCACGGCUCAACCGUGGAGGGUCAUUGGAAACUGGAAAACUUGAGUGCAGAAGAGGAAAGUGGAAUUCCAUGUGUAGCGGUGAAAUGCGCAGAGAUAUGGAGGAACACCAGUGGCGAAGGCGACUUUCUGGUCUGUAACUGACGCUGAUGUGCGAAAGCGUGGGGAUCAAACAGGAUUAGAUACCCUGGUAGUCCACGCCGUAAACGAUGAGUGCUAAGUGUUAGGGGGUUUCCGCCCCUUAGUGCUGCAGCUAACGCAUUAAGCACUCCGCCUGGGGAGUACGACCGCAAGGUUGAAACUCAAAGGAAUUGACGGGGACCCGCACAAGCGGUGGAGCAUGUGGUUUAAUUCGAAGCAACGCGAAGAACCUUACCAAAUCUUGACAUCCUUUGACAACUCUAG